GACGGAGGGUGCUAGCGUUGUUCGGAAUUACUGGGCUUAAAGCGUGCGUAGGCGGCCUAGCAAGUCGGGUGUGAAAGCCCUCGGCUCAACCGAGGAAUUGCGCCCGAAACUGCUGGGCUUGAGUGAGACAGAGGUGAGCGGAACUGAUGGUGGAGCGGUGAAAUGCGUUGAUAUCAUCAGGAACACCGGUGGCGAAGGCGGCUCACUGGGUCUCAACUGACGCUGAGGUACGAAAGCCAGGGUAGCGAACGGG
rnacentral:rRNA from 1 species